AAGUGUGUCUACAGCCGCACCUGAAUGCACUGAGCUCAUCUUCCUCAGAAGCUAAGCAGGGCCAGGCCUGGUUAGUACUUGGAUAGGAGAAAGGACACAGUCGAGUUUU
rnacentral:rRNA from 1 species